CCUAGGGUGGCAGCAGUGGGGAAUAUUGGGCAAUGGACGCAAGUCUGACCCAGCAACGCCGCGUGAAGGAAGAAGGCUUUCGGGUUGUAAACUUCUUUUAAGGGGGAAGAGCAGAAGACGGUACCCCUUGAAUAAGCCACGGCUAACUACGUGCCAGCAGCAGCGGUAAUACGGAAGGUCCGGGCGUUAUCCGGAUUUAUUGGGUUUAAAGGGAGCGUAGGCCGCAUGUCAAGCGUGCUGUGAAAUGUCCGGGCUCAACCCGGGCCUUGCAGCGCGAACUGGCGUGCUUGAGUCCGCGGAAAGCAGGCGGAAUUCGUCGUGUAGCGGUGAAAUGCUUAGAUAUGACGAAGAACCCCGAUUGCGAAGGCAGCUUGCUGCAGCGGAACUGACGCUGAUGCUCGAAAGCGCGGGUAUCGAACAGGAUUAGAUACCCCGGUAGUC
rnacentral:rRNA from 1 species